rnacentral:tRNA from 1 species
GGGGAGCUGGCGCAACGGUAGCGCGUCAGAUUCCAGUCCUGAAGGUUAUCGGUUCAAAUCCGGUGUUACUCA